rnacentral:rRNA from 1 species
AACGAACGCUGGCGGCAGGCCUAACACAUGCAAGUCGAACGCCGUAGCAAUACGGAGUGGCAGACGGGUGAGUAACACGUGGGAACGUGCCCUUUGGUUCGGAACAACACAGGGAAACUUGUGCUAAUACCGGAUAAGCCCUUACGGGGAAAGAUUUAUCGCCAAAGGAUCGGCCCGCGUCUGAUUAGCUAGUUGGUGAGGUAACGGCUCACCAAGGCUACGAUCAGUAGCUGGUCUGAGAGGAUGAUCAGCCACACUGGGACUGAGACACGGCCCAGACUCCUACGGGAGGCAGCAGUGGGGAAUUUUGGACAAUGGGGGCAACCCUGAUCCAGCGACGCCGCGUGAAGGACGAAGGUCUUCGGAUUGUAAACUUCUUUUGAAGGGAUGAACUGGCUAGUGAAUAACUAAGCCUUGACAGUACUCUUUGAAUAAGCCACGGCUAACUACGU